rnacentral:lncRNA from 1 species
GUGAUAGUUGGAGGGAUGCACUGAAGCAGUUCACACAUUGUGCAAACCAGUUUGCCCAUUCUGUUGGCAUCCAGUACAGCUUCUCAGGGGUCUAAAGCUGUUCUGGAAAUCUGCAGCCAGUGAGUCUCACCAUUAAUUCUACCAUUUCAUCCUGCAGAUCUGACCUCUUUUAAGAGUGAUUUGAUGUUUCUUUAAGCAACACCCCGUCUCUAUGAAGAAAUGCCAACAGAGGAGAAGUUUCAGGCUUGCUAUUUUUAUUUAAGCUGUUGGAACGGUAUGGACAUAAUAAGUGUUUUGGAAUAGACAUCAGC